GGGGUCUGGAGGCGCAGCCUGCUUGUGUCGUCACCCGACAGCGUGCUUGUUCCGGCCGCACUCCUGCACCCAUGCUUCUCCAGCUCCUGGUCAGGUGCGCCUUCCAUUUGCGCGGGCCGUGUGGCCCUGGGUGCCGUCUGGGCGCCCCCGUUCCAUCUGUGAGCCUGUCUGGAAGUGCCCAAGAUGCGACCGUUUCUCACAGCCCCUGGCUGGGCCAAGCCACCCUCAGCUGUCCCGUGAACCGUUAGUCUCCUAACUGGCGUCCCUGCUUGGUGGUCCGUCAUCUGACCCCAACACUGUUUCCAGAGGCUGUGUUCUCUUGCACAGACUCCCCUGUGCCCGAGUCUCCGUCUCGACUGCGGGGAGGCACGGUCUGACGCGGGACACCAGGGCUCCUGGGGACCCGGAGCCCGUCCGCCCUGCCCUCUCCUGCCACUCUUCCCUCACGGCUUUGCAGCCAGCCACGGGGUCCCUCGGGCUUCCUGCCCUUGUCCUCCUCGGAUCCUUUGCUCCCGUGCCUCCCGCUGCCCCUGACUGGCGCCCUCGACCAUCCACACGGGCCACCUGAUGCCUCCUCCCGGUCCUGGUCCCGGCGUCUUCCCCGGCCACCAGCCACCCCAUCUUUCCACCGAGCGCCCUUGGUACACGGGGCAUCCCCCACCCCAAAUCCACCUGCUGCCUGUUGGGAGGCAGGCCUCUGUCGGGUGAAGAGGUCAUGAAGGGGAGUGCUCAUGUGGGACUAGUGUCCUUAUAAAGAGGUCCCUCGAGCUGCCUUCUCUGCCACGGGACACGGCAAGAGGUCGGUGGUCGAGACCGGGGAGAGGGCCCUCACCGGAUCCGGAACACAGGGACUGGCAGCCUCCGGAACUGUGGAAAUAAGCGUCUGCCUUUGAUAAGCCGCCCGGUGGUCGUAGCCGGCCGGGGCCACCUCCUGAUGUACAAGGUAGCUUCCCCUCUGGUCCUGGUCCCCUGUCAUCCUCCUCUGGAGCGUGAGCUCCGUGGAACCGGGGUGUCUGUCCCUGGCGUCUGCUAUCCCCCUGACCCCGAAGGCAGUGCCCCACCCACAGAGCACCCUGGUUGAGCAGGCGGGGACAAGAAGGUCUUCCGGGAGCCCCUGCGCCCUGCCGCGGAGGGACGCGGUUCCCAGCCGGGUUCUGCAGCCGGAUCCCUGCGUGUGCGGCCGGCUCCCGUGGCCUGUGUGACAGUCACAUCUGCAUAGAUGAUGAUCCAGCCCCGCCCCGCGAUCUG
rnacentral:lncRNA from 1 species